rnacentral:rRNA from 1 species
UACAGAGGAGCCAAGCGUUGUCCGGAUUGACUGGGCGUAAAGCGCACGCAGGCGGUUGCGCGCGUGGGGUGUGAAAUCUGGCCGCUUAACGGCCAGGCGCCAUCCCAUACGGCGCGACUGGAGCGAUGCAGAGGUCGGUGGAAUUGCCGGUGUAGUGGUGAAAUGCGUAGAGAUGUGGAGGAAUACCGAUGGCGAAGGCAGCCCCCCUGGGAUAACACUGACGCUCAUGCACGAAAGCGUGGGGAGCAAACAGG